UACGUAGGGUGCGAGCGUUGUCCGGAAUUAUUGGGCGUAAAGAGCUCGUAGGCGGUUUGUCGCGUCGGGAGUGAAAUCCACUGGCUUAACUGGUGGCUUGCUUUCGAUACGGGCAGACUGGAGGUAUGCAGGGGAGAACGGAAUUCCUGGUGUAGCGGUGAAAUGCGCAGAUAUCAGGAGGAACACCGGUGGCGAAGGCGGUUCUCUGGGCAUGUCCUGACGCUGAGGAGCGAAAGUGUGGGGAGCGAACAGG
rnacentral:rRNA from 1 species